AUGACGACGAUUUCCGUACCAAGGAUAGGUUUGACCUACUUUAUAUGUUUUUCUUCCUUCCUCCCUCCCUGCCUCCCUGCCUCCCUCCCUGCCUCCCUCCCUCCUCCAAUCUCUCUCCCUCAUCCCUCCCUCCCUCAUCCCUCCCUCCCUCCUCCACUCUCUCUCUCUCAUCCCUCCCUCCUUCCUCCCUCCCUCCCCUCCCUCCCUCCUUCCUCCGUUCCAACCUUCCUCCCUCUCCCCCUCCCUUGCUCCUUCCUUCCUCCCUUCAUCCCUCCCUCCCUCCCUCCUCCCUUCCUCCCUCCCUCCCUCCCUCCCUCCCUCCCUCCCUCCCUCCCUCCCUCUCCCCCUCCCUUGUUCCUUCCUUCCUCCCUUCAUCCCUCCCUCCCUCCCUCCCUCCUCCCUCCCUCCCCCUCCCUCCCUCCCUCCCUCCCUCCCUCCCUCCCUCCUCCCUCCCUCCCAUCAGACUGCGUGCCUGAGGAGGUGGAGGUACCAGAGGAGCCCGCAGACGGAGGACCCACCAUCUCCACCCUCAAUCUCUGCACUGAGACGUUCCACAGGGAGUACCAGACCCUGCCGUCCUCCAGACAUCUGGACCACAGGGCAGCUGACCAAUCACAGCAGCUGCUCAGGAUCUCCCUGGGUCCGUCGGCCAGGAAGCAGAACCCCAACAUGAGGACCUUCAUGCGCCAAGCCCUGUCCCAGGAGAACCUCAGUCUGGACCCGCGGCCAGCGGAACCGUCCCACAACCCCAGCCCCUCGCUCCCUCACUGGCCCAGUGCCUCCACACACAGCCUCCUCCAAAAGCCCCCGAACCCCACCCAGAACCAGAACCCCACCCAGAACCAGCCCCAGAACCCCACCCAGUACCAGCCCCAGAACCCCACCCAGUACCAGCCCCAGAACCCCACCCAGUACCAGCCCCAGAACCCCACCCAGUACCAGCCCCAGAACCCCACCCAGUACCAGCCCCAGAAACCCACCCAGUACCACACCCAGCCCCAGGCCGAGAACCCCACCCAGAACCAGAACCCCACCCAGAACCAGCCCCAGAACCCCACCCAGAACCCCUACCAUCCCCAGAGCCUCAACCAGCCUGAGAACCCCACCCAGCCCCAGAAUCCUACACAGAGCCCCUCCAGACUCCAGAACCCCACCCAAAACCCCAUCCAGAACCCCUCAAGACCCCAGAACCCCACCCAAAGCCCCUCCAGACUCCAGAACCCCACCCAAAACCCCAUCCACAACCCCUCAAGACUCCAGAACCCCAACCAGAAUCCCAACCAUCCCCAGAACCCCUCCAGACACCAGUACCCCACCCAAAACCCCACCCAGCCCCAUAUCCCCCCCCAAAGCCCCUCCAGACCCCAUAACCCCACCCAGCCCCAGAACCCAGCCCAAAGCCCCUCCAGACCCCAGAACCACGCGCAGAACCAGAACCCCACCCAGGCCCAGAACCCAGAACCCCAGGAUGUAAAGAGCAGCGCUGGCGUGUGGAGAACCCCUCCCUCCCGGACCUCCACCCAGCCCACCCGCAUCGACAUCCCCAUAACGAGGCCCGACGCCCCGCCCAGACCGCUCCUCUCCACCUUCCAGCACCACCCUGCCCUGGGCCCCGUCCGGUCGGUCCAGGGUGGCCACCGCCCCGUCACCUCCUCCCCGCCCUCCUCCACCACCCCCACCUCCUCACCCCGACCAAGGCAGAGCGCCGCCCCCAGCCAACCACAGCGCACCGCCUCCAGUCCUCAGAGGCCCGCCCCCCCCACCCGGCACGUCUCCUUCCAGGACCCGCCCCCCGGGGCGGGGGAGGGCCUCUCCCCGGACCCCUGGCGCAGGGAGGAGCGGGAGAGGCUGCGGGAGCAGCUGGAGGAGCAGCGGCGGCGGAGGGAGCUGGAGGCGCUGGAGGAGGAGGUGAGGGAGCUGGGCGCCAGGGCGGCCCGCUCCCCGGGGGACGGCGAGAGGCUGCGCCGGCUCACCCUGGAGCUGCAGUUCCAGAGGAGGCUGCAGGAGCUGCAGCAGAACGGGGGGGAGGAGGAGGAGGAGGAGGAGGAGGAGGAGGAGUUCAGGGUGAUCCCCCAACGCACCGAGAACAGACUUGGGGAGAAAAGCCAGGUUAAGGAGCAUCAAACUACCAACCCGGCUGACCCAGAAGGACAGAGGAUGGCUCCAGAUCAAAAAUCGAUUGGAUACGGCCGUGCUUCUCAUGAGGUGGUCCCAAAAAAAAGCCAGGAAGACUCGCUCCAGAGUAUGGCGGCUCCGGAGAAACUUCCCUUUAAGGAACGCCAGCGUCUCUUCUCUCUGGGGUCAGCCUCGUAA
ensembl:lncRNA